rnacentral:rRNA from 1 species
GGAGGAAGAGAAAGAAAAAUCGAUUUCCUGAGUAGCGGCGAGCGAAACGGAAAGAGCCCAAACCAAGAAGCUUGCUUCUUGGGGUUGUAGGACACUCUAUACGGAGUUACAAAAGAAAGUUAUAAAUGAAGCGGUCUGGAAAGGCCCGCCAAAGACGGUAACAGCCCGGUAGUUGAAAUGGCUUUCCCUCCAGAGUGGAUCCUGAGUACGGCGGAACACGUGAAAUUCCGUCGGAAUCCGGGAGGACCAUCUCCCAAGGCUAAAUACUCCCUAGUGACCGAUAGUGAACCAGUACCGUGAGGGAAAGGUGAAAAGCACCCCGGAAGGGGAGUGAAACAGUUCCUGAAACCGUGUGCCUACAAGUAGUUAGAGCCCGUUAAUGGGUGAUAGCGUGCCUUUUGUAGAAUGAACCGGCGAGUUACGAUUUGUUGCAAGGUUAAGCGGAAAAAGCGGAGCCGUAGCGAAAGCGAGUCUGAAUAGGGCGCAUAAGUAACAGGUCGUAGACCCGAAACCAGGUGAUCUACCCAUGUCCAGGAUGAAGGUAAGGUAAUACUUACUGGAGGUCCGAACCCACGCACGUUGAAAAGUGCGGGGAUGAGGUGUGGGUAGCGGAGAAAUUCCAAUCGAACUUGGAGAUAGCUGGUUCUCUCCGAAAUAGCUUUAGGGCUAGCCUCGAGGUAAAGAGUCAUGGAGGUAGAGCACUGUUUGGACUAGGGGCCCUUCUCGGGUUACCGAAUUCAGAUAAACUCCGAAUGCCAUGUACUUAUACUCGGGAGUCAGACUGCGAGUGAUAAGAUCCGUAGUCGAAAGGGAAACAGCCCAGACCACCAGUUAAGGUCCCCAAAUAUAUGUUAAGUGGAAAAGGAUGUGGGGUUGCUUAGACAACCAGGAUGUUGGCUUAGAAGCAGCCACCAUUGAAAGAGUGCGUAAUAGCUCACUGGUCGAGUGACCCCGCGCCGAAAAUGUACCGGGGCUAAACAUAUUACC